CCAGGAAAAGCCUCUAAGCAUCAGGUAACAUCAAAUCGUACCCCAAACCGACACAGGUGGUCAGGUAGAGAAUACCAAGGCGCUUGAGAGAACUCGGGUGAAGGAACUAGGCAAAAUGGUGCCGUAACUUCGGGAGAAGGCACGCUGAUAUGUAGGUGAAGCGACUUGCUCGUGGAGCUGAAAUCAGUCGAAGAUACCAGCUGGCCGCAACUGUUUAUUAAAAACACAGCACUAUGCAAACACGAAAGUGGACGUAUACGGUGUGACGCCUGCCCGGUGCCAGAAGGUUAAUUGAUGGGGUUAGCCGCAAGGCGAAGCUCUUGAUCGAAGCCCCGGUAAACGGCGGCCGUAACAAUAACGGUCCUAAGGUAGCGAAAUUCCUUGUCGGGUAAGUUCCGACCUGCACGAAUGGCGUAAUGAUGGCCAGGCUGUCUCCACCCGAGACUCAGUGAAAUUGAACUCGCUGUGAAGAUGCAGUGUACCCGCGGCAAGACGGAAAGACCCCGUGAACCUUUACUAUAGCUUGACACUGAACAUUGAGCCUUGAUGUGUAGGAUAGGUGGGAGGCUUUGAAGUGUGGACGCCAGUCUGCAUGGAGCCGACCUUGAAAUACCACCCUUUAAUGUUUGAUGUUCUAACGUUGACCCGUAAUCCGGGUUGCGGACAGUGUCUGGUGGGUAGUUUGACUGGGGCGGUCUCCUCCUAAAGAGUAACGGAGGAGCACGAAGGUUGGCUAAUCCUGGUCGGACAUCAGGAGGUUAGUGCAAUGGCAUAAGCCAGCUUGACUGCGAGCGUGACGGCGCGAGCAGGUGCGAAAGCAGGUCAUAGUGAUCCGGUGGUUCUGAAUGGAAGGGCCAUCGCUCAACGGAUAAAAGGUACUCCGGGGAUAACAGGCUGAUACCGCCCAAGAGUUCAUAUCGACGGCGGUGUUUGGCACCUCGAUGUCGGCUCAUCACAUCCUGGGGCUGAAGUAGGUCCCAAGGGUAUGGCUGUUCGCCAUUUAAAGUGGUACGCGAGCUGGGUUUAGAACGUCAUGAGACAGUUCGGUCCCUAUCUGCCGUGGGCGCUGGAGAACUGAAGGGGGCUGCUCCUAGUACGAGAGGACCGGAGUGGACGCAUCACUGGUGUUCGGGUUGUCAUGCCAAUGGCACUGCCCGGUAGCUAAAUGCGGAAGAGAUAAGUGCUGAAAGCAUCUAAGCACGAAACUUGCCCCGAGAUGAGUUCUCCCUGACUCCUUGAGAGUCCUGAAGGAACGUUGAAGACGACGACGUUGAUAGGCCGGGUGUGUAAGCGCAGCGAUGCGUUGAGCUAACCGGUACUAAUGAACC
rnacentral:rRNA from 1 species